AUACGAAGGGGGCUAGCGUUGUUCGGAUUUACUGGGCGUAGAGCGCACGUAGGCGGAUUGAUUAGUUAGGGGUGAAAUCCCGAGGCUCAACCUCGGAACUGCCUUUAAUACUGUCAAUCUCGAGACCGGAAGAGGUGAGUGGAACUCCUAGUGUAGAGGUGGAAUUCGUAGAUAUUAGGAAGAACACCAGUGGCGAAGGCGGCUCACUGGUCCGGUACUGACGCUGAGGUGCGAAAGCGUGGGGAGCGAACAGGAUUAGAAACCCCAGUAGUCC
rnacentral:rRNA from 1 species